GGAGCUCCUCUGAUCCCCCCACCCCCCAGGAUAGAAGUGCCUUUAUCAGAGUUACUGAUGGCGUCAUCGCCCUACUGGAACCAGAUGCCCUCACCAACCUCCAUGCAAUUGAAGAUGAUGGAGAAACAUUGUCUGCAGCAUUUGACAGGGAAGAGGAAAGGCCUAUUGAGGAUGAAAUCGAAUUCAAUGAGAGGCCAUCCACUUCUAGCUCUACUUCACAGCUUACCUCUGUAAGAUUCUCCCUGGAAUUAUAAUGAAACGCUGUACUUGGCACUGUGAAAUCCAAUGUCAUCUUUUGCAUUCCUAUAGCUUCCAGUCAAAGAGCUCUAUAAAAUCUAUCUGGGAAAACAAAUAAACAAAGCAGACUUGGAAAUGGACCACAUUAGGCAAAAGAUGCAAAAGGAUGCUUUGGAGAUCCAAAUUUUGGAACAUAAGUUAAAGGAAAUAAAGAAAUCCUCAUAAAAAGUAGAUUGUCUUUAUUAGAACACGGGCUGUGGUGGGACAAGUUAUUUUGUUGAACAGUGUCACCCCCUACCAGAGGCUGGGUCUGUCACACGAGUUUACUAUCAUACAGGAAGGCGAAAGAAUGCCAAAGAAAACAUUUCGGAAAUAAUAAAAUACAUUUAACUACAUAGAAAACUCAAACAAAAUGAUUUUGGCAGAGUCUUUCUCUAACCACCCUUCCGUCCUGUGGAUCCAUGGCAUGGUUUGGGUUUAUGUGCUGCUCAUCUGCAAAUGCAGCAUUUGGAGGCACUGGAAUCUUGCCUUCAGGAUCCCGAACGUGUUUUCGACCCUGGCUCUCGUCCUCAUAUGCGCCAGGUUGUAGCGCUGCUGUGGUCCUGGCACGGGAUC